GAUGAUUUGUACCAAAUUUGAUUGAAAUUGGCCCAUUGGUUCUGGAGAAGAUGAAAAUAUGAAAAGUUGAUGGACAGACAGAUGGACAGACUUGUUCCAAAGAUGCUUCAUACCAAAGAACAAGUGUAUUUUUCUCUAUAUCAAAAGAUGACGAUAAGCCAACUCUUUUCUCCAAAAUACAUGUACCUCAGCAAUGUGAUCGGUUCUGUGCUAGGAUCUGCGCUAUGGAUGAUAGUCUUCAAACUAUUCAAUGACAGUAUCAAUUUUCUGUGCAAUUUGGCAUUGUGACGUCAAAUACAAAGCCCAGCGGGUAUUCAACAUCACAAUUAUAGCAGCUGUUCCCAAUAUAUGACGAAACGAUUUGCUCUGUUAUUAGAAGAGGAUUUAUUCUGCUUUGGUAUAAUAAAAUAUCUAUCCAAUGGGUAGGAAGGCAAAAGCAUGUGUAAUGUUACUUAGUAGAGAGAAAAACUACGUC